UACGUAGGGUGCAAGCGUUGUCCGGAAUUAUUGGGCGUAAAGAGCUCGUAGGCGGUUUGUCGCGUCGAAUGUGAAAACCCGGGGCUCAACCCCGGGCCUGCAUUCGAUGCGGGCAGACUAGAGUUCGGUAGGGGAGACUGGAAUUCCUGGUGUAGCGGUGAAAUGCGCAGAUAUCAGGAGGAACACCGGUGGCGAAGGCGGGUCUCUGGGCCGAUACUGACGCUGAGGAGCGAAAGCGUGGGGAGCGAACAGG
rnacentral:rRNA from 1 species